GGCUGGAAAUGCCCAAAGAAACACAAAAUCCCCCCAAAAAACCCCAAAUCCACCAAAAAAACCGACCUGGAAAAACCUCAAUUCACCCCAGCCUCAGUGAGCCACCCUAAACUCAGCCAAAUCCACCAAAAAUCAUUCAAAUCCCCCUCAGCCUGCGGCUCUUCGAGGAGGUGAGGGGCUGGAAAUGCCCAAGGAAACACAAAAUCCCCCCCAAAAAAACCCAAAUCCACCAAAAAACCGACCUGGAAAAACCUCAAUUCACCUGAGCCUUGGUGAGCCACCCUGAGCCAUCCUAAACUUGAUGUAAAUUCAGCCAAAUCCCCCCCAAAAUCAUUCAAAUCCCCCUCAGCCUGCGGCUCUUCGAGGAGGUGAGGGGCUGGAAAUGCAAAAAAAAAGCCAAAAUCCCCCCAAAAAAACCCAAAAUCCACCAAAAAACCGACCUGGAAAAACCUCAAUUCACCCCAGCCUCGAUGAGCUGCCCUAAACUCAGCCAAAUCCCCCCAGAAUCGUUCAAAUUCCCCUCAACACCUACAGCCUGCGGCUCUUCGAGGAGGUGAGGGGCUGGAAAUGCCCAAAGAAACACAAAAUCCCCCCCAAAAAACCCCAAAUCCACCAAAAAACCGACCUGGAAAAACCUUAAUUCACCCCAGCCUCGAUGAGCUGCCCUAAACUCAGCCAAAUCCCCCCAAAAUUGUUCAAAUUCCCCUCAACACCUACAGCCUGUGACUCUUCAAGGAGGUGAGGGGCUGGAAAUGCCCAAAAAAAGCCAAAAUCCCCCCAAAAAAACCCAAAUCCCCCAAAAAACCGACCUGGAAAAACCUCAAUUCACCCCAGCCUCAGUGAGCCACCCUAAACUCAGCCAAAUCCCCCCAAAAUCGUUCAAAUUCCCC